UAGGGAAUCUUCCACAAUGGGUGCAAACCUGAUGGAGCAAUGCCGCGUGAGUGAAGAAGGUCUUCGGAUCGUAAAGCUCUGUUGUUAGAGAAGAACACGUGCUAGGUAACUACUAGCGCCUGACG
rnacentral:rRNA from 1 species